GAUGAACGCUGGCGGCGUGCCUAAUACAUGCAAGUCGAGCGAACAGACCAGGAGCUUGCUCCUCUGACGUUUGCGGCGGACGUGUGAGUCACACGUGGAUACCCCACCUAUAAGACUGGGAUACCUUCGGGACACCGGAGCUAACACCGGAUAAUAUAUUGCACCGCAUGGUUCAAUAGUGAAAGACGGUUUUGCUGUCACUUAUAGACGGCUCCGCGCCGCCUUAGCUAGUUGGUAAGGUAACGGCUUACCAAGGCGACGAUGCGUAGCCGACCUGAGAGAGGGGUCGCCCACACGGGAACUGAGACGCGGACCAGACUCCUACGGGAGGCAGCAGUAGGGAAUCGUCCGCAGUGGUGGAAAGCCUGACGGAGCAACGCCGCGCGAGUGAUGGAGGUCUUGGGAGCGGAAAGCUCUGUUAUUAGUGAAGAACAAAUGUGUAAGUGAAUAUGCACGUAUUGACGGUACCUGAUCAGAAAGCCACGGCUAACUACGUG
rnacentral:rRNA from 1 species